rnacentral:rRNA from 1 species
UACGAAGGGGGCUAGCGUUGCUCGGAAUCACUGGGCGUAAAGGGUGCGUGGGCGGGUCUUUAAGUCAGGGGUGAAAUCCUGGAGCUCAAAUCCAGAACUGCCUUUGAUACUGAGGAUCUUGAGUCCGGAAGAGGUGAGUGGAACUGCGAGUGUAGAGGUGAAAUUCGUAGAUAUUCGCAAGAACACCGGUGGCGAAGGCGGCUCACUGGUCCGGAACUGACGCUGAGGCACGACAGCGUGGGGAGCAAACAGG